rnacentral:rRNA from 1 species
GGGUUGUGAGGUUAAGCGACUAAGCGUACACGGUGGAUGCCCUGGCAGUCAGAGGCGAUGAAGGACGUGCUAAUCUGCGAUAAGCGUCGGUAAGGUGAUAUGAACCGUUAUAACCGGCGAUUUCCGAAUGGGGAAACCCAGUGUGUUUCGACACACUAUCAUUAACUGAAUCCAUAGGUUAAUGAGGCGAACCGGGGGAACUGAAACAUCUAAGUACCCCGAGGAAAAGAAAUCAACCGAGAUUCCCCCAGUAGCGGCGAGCGAACGGGGAGCAGCCCAGAGCCUGAAUCAGUGUGUGUGUUAGUGGAAGCGUCUGGAAAGGCGCGCGAUACAGGGUGACAGCCCCGUACACAAAAAUGCACAUACUGUGAGCUCGAUGAGUAGGGCGGGACACGUGGUAUCCUGUCUGAAUAUGGGGGGACCAUCCUCCAAGGCUAAAUACUCCUGACUGACCGAUAGUGAACCAGUACCGUGAGGGAAAGGCGAAAAGAACCCCGGCGAGGGGAGUGAAAAAGAACCUGAAACCGUGUACGUACAAGCAGUGGGAGCACGCUUCGGCGUGUGACUGCGUACCUUUUGUAUAAUGGGUCAGCGACUUAUAUUCUGUAGCAAGGUUAACCGAAUAGGGGAGCCGAAGGGAAACCGAGUCUUAACUGGGCGUUAAGUUGCAGGGUAUAGACCCGAAACCCGGUGAUCUAGCCAUGGGCAGGUUGAAGGUUGGGUAACACUAACUGGAGGACCGAACCGACUAAUGUUGAAAAAUUAGCGGAUGACUUGUGGCUGGGGGUGAAAGGCCAAUCAAACCGGGAGAUAGCUGGUUCUCCCCGAAAGCUAUUUAGGUAGCGCCUCGUGAAUUCAUCUCCGGGGGUAGAGCACUGUUUCGGCAAGGGGGUCAUCCCGACUUACCAACCCGAUGCAAACUGCGAAUACCGGAGAAUGUUAUCACGGGAGACACACGGCGGGUGCUAACGUCCGUCGUGAAGAGGGAAACAACCCAGACCGCCAGCUAAGGUCCCAAAGUCAUGGUUAAGUGGGAAACGAUGUGGGAAGGCCCAGACAGCCAGGAUGUUGGCUUAGAAGCAGCCAUCAUUUAAAGAAAGCGUAAUAGCUCACUGGUCGAGUCGGCCUGCGCGGAAGAUGUAACGGGGCUAAACCAUGCACCGAAGCUGCGGCAGCGACACUAUGUGUUGUUGGGUAGGGGAGCGUUCUGUAAGCCUGUGAAGGUGUACUGUGAGGUAUGCUGGAGGUAUCAGAAGUGCGAAUGCUGACAUAAGUAACGAUAAAGCGGGUGAAAAGCCCGCUCGCCGGAAGACCAAGGGUUCCUGUCCAACGUUAAUCGGGGCAGGGUGAGUCGACCCCUAAGGCGAGGCCGAAAGGCGUAGUCGAUGGGAAACAGGUUAAUAUUCCUGUACUUGGUGUUACUGCGAAGGGGGGACGGAGAAGGCUAUGUUGGCCGGGCGACGGUUGUCCCGGUUUAAGCGUGUAGGCUGGUUUUCCAGGCAAAUCCGGAAAAUCAAGGCUGAGGCGUGAUGACGAGGCACUACGGU